GGCCAAGAGACCAAAGACCCCGGAUGAAAACCUCAGCCCUCUCGCUUUCCAUUAGAGACAUGAUGGAGAAUUUAUUUGGAAACAGCAAAGCAAAAUAAAACGAAGACACUGCGCCCUACUCCUCUGGAUAUAGAACUCACCUCUGCAGCGAGUCUCAUGCCUCUUCACCUGGAUGGACAGAGAAGCAAGGGCAAUUUUCAUCUGUGCUUAAGGUGGUAACUUCUGGGAUGCUACCAAGUUCCUUGCAGUCUUCCUCAUGCUGCCUUCAUUUAAUAAAAUGGACCAGGCACGGUGGCUCACUCCUGUAAUUCCAG